CCGCAUACAGCUGGGCGGCGGCGGCUUUCAAGCCCAGUCCAGAGGCACUCGGUGUUGCCUGCCGCGGAGCAGGAGAAGCAGGAAAGCAGGGACCGGUGUGGGGGAGCGGGCAGCACGGCAGGCAGGGAAAUGCGACCCCAGAUAACAUCCUAGCUUUCCUGGCGCCCCCCACCUCCCAGCGCCUGCAGCAGACAUGAGCAGCGCCGGCGGGUCGAUCGCGGUGGGUGUUUGCCAAUAAAGUGGAUUCCGUCAGAAAACCCCCGGCUGCUGCUGCUGCUGCUGCUGCCUGUUGGAUGCGGAUAGGAGCUCGCCCUGGUUCCUUCGCGACCGCUCAUCUUCCCGCGGGCUGCCAAUUUCAAACACAGAUGCCAGAAUUGGUGCCCUUCGUGUGCCACUUCGGUGCCCGGGGCCAGUGCGUUAACUCGCCGUUAGAGCAGCGGCCGCUUCCAGCGAUUUAAACGUGACCCGGGGCAGCCCGUCUCUUAAACCUUCCCGCCGCCGGAGCCACGCAAACGGCCAAAUCUCUUGCCUUCGAGGAAAGCGGGCAGCCGUGGUGCUACUGGCGAAACCCGGGCGACCUCGGAAACGGAGUGGGUCCUGCCCGCUCGGGGGCCGUGACCAAACCCGCUCCCGUGGGCCGGAGAGCCUUCCUGGGUAACUCUGGACGUAUUCCUCCCUCCAUGAAAAUGUAGCUGGUUGCAGUCUUGAAUCUAUGGAGAGAGGAAGCUGCAUAUUGAUGUUUAUGAGACAACUGGCAAGCCUUACGUGCCAAGAAGACAACUGAUCAUAAUUGCAUAACAAUGUUCCAUUUCAUCAAGCUAGUUUUACUUGUUUAGUCUUUGACAUUUAAUAGUGUUAAAGAUCUAUCAUUUGCGAUGACAUUAAGCUUCUAUGAAAGAAAAAAGUCCAAGACUAGGAUUUGAAUGUUCAUUUUAAGACCUGUUACUGUGAUAACUGCUCCACAACUGGUCUGGAAUAUCAGUUUUGUCCACAGAAUCCUGAAGUACAUGGCUGUCUAAUUGGUUGGUUUUAUUUAAACUUAACAACACAUCUCAUCACCAGUUACUGUCUUACUAAUACCAUCUAGUGUGACACACAGUGAUAGCUGUGCAGUUAACUUUUUUGUCUACAUAUGGGGUGCAAAGCUGUGUAAUGAUCUUUGAGGAACACUACAGAAAGAAUACUACUUGGAAACAUUGAUCUAAAUUUAGCUUUUUCCAAUUCAGCCAUUGUCCAUUCUCCUGUCACUAUAUGCCUUUGUAAAAAAAUCUUUCUCCAGCUUUUCUGUGGGCCCCCUUCCAGUAUCUGAAAGCUGCAGUAAGGUCUCUCCAGAGCCUUCUCUUCUGCAGGCUUAACAGUCCCCACUAUCUUAGGCUGUUUUUGUAGGAGAGGUGCUUCAGCCCUGACCACUGACUUGUCCUGUAAGUAAAACUGCAUGAGUCUAAAUUCGUGAAAUACAGGGAGCAGAAAGCAUAGUCUUAUAUAACUGGAAUAAAAGAAUGAAGUUUUCUAUUAAAACUGAAAGCAUAUGCCUUCAAACCUUGGAAAGCAUCAAAACAGUGGAAGGUACAAUUACACAUACAGUUUUUUAGGGGACUUUUGGAGAAAAUUUCACAGCUCAGAUGUGAAACUCUUCAAACCUGAAGAGCUGCAAUCCUUUUUACAGAAAAGGUUCAAAGUAUGCAUAGAAAAAGACAAGAAGUGUUCCUUGUUGAGCAGAGCAAGAGCAGAGAAAUAAAACCUUCUCUGAUACCACUGUAAGUUACCAUUACAUUAUGCUUCAAGGAAUGACAGCAGUUGAAUGGAAGGAGAAAAUUGAAGGAGAUAGAGAUGGCAGCCCAUAAGAAUUGUGCACAAAGUGAAAAUUGAGUGAUAGAGCUGAACAGGGAAGUAGUUUCUCUUCCUAACCUAAUGCAUUAAAAGAAGAAAAAAAAAAAUCUGAACUGUGGCUGUGGGUCAUGAAGCUUUUCUGGCAGCAUGGCCAGUACCACCUGCUUUAUCCUGUUCUCAAUCUAGAUUUUAAAUACUCUGUUUAAAGCAAAAUGUUUUAAACUGGUGCAUUAUAUAUCUUAGCACCAAGGUAAAAGCAAAGGGUGAAUUUUCUUGCCGUUAUCUUGGCAGCUCUGCUUGUUACAGCUCUGCCUGUGUUUUCAUGUUAGAUGUCUAUUUUGAGACUGCAAAGCAAUGUGGAGUGAAGAGAUAGCUUUGCUUUUCACCAAAAAUAAUAAUAAUUUUUAAAAAAAUGC